UGAACAUUUAGGUUGUAACCUUCUUGGCAAUAAAAGUGCUUUUGUUUUGAAUUUACCCUCUAUUUGAAACCUAGCCUAGUUCUGGUUAGUGGCACCACACCUCCCCACUGGCUUCCACAUUCAGUGGAAAAUGCUGGCAGAGCUCUACCGGAUGACCUUGAGCUAGGUUGUGUUUCUGGUACAUUGCUCCUUGGAGGCAUGGUGAGUUGUUUUGGGGUUUAGAUGGCAAAGACAAGAUAACUGCAAGUAUGGUGCCUGUACCUAGGGGUGUAUGAGUGGCUGGAAGAAAAUGGUGCAAGGUUCCUUCUGGACUUCAUGAGAAGAAUUGGUGGGCUGAAGAUGAACAGUGGAGCACUUUUGAUCUCCCUCUGUUCCCAAUAAGUCUACUAGUGUCCCUGAAGACCUCCCUGGUCUGUAUGAAUGGUGUGGAGAAACCACACGCCAUUUGACUCUGUGCCCUUGCUGUCGUGAUGACUGGUGUGGCAGCUGUGAAAUGGAUUAACAGUGAAAAUGAUGCCCACGUCCCAUGAAUCCUGAUGCCCAUGCGGUCUUACUGAAGAUGAUUGACUCAGUUACAAUAGUUGCGACCACACCAAACCACCGUUAAGGACGUGGCACAGGUUCUAUCAGACUCACUCUGCAGAAGAAGACUUUCCUUCCAUGAUGGUCUGCUGGAGCUGACUUGCUGCUGGCCUGUUCAGUGUCAACCAGAAGAGCCUGCACAGUCACUGCCCUCAUGCCCUAAAGAAGUACUGUGCCACUGGGGCUGCCACAGAAGAAAUCCUCUACCCUACUACUGGGGUGCCACUACAAGCCAUGUGGUCAGCCUGGAAUGCGCCCAUCCGCUUGAAGCCUUGGGAUGGGUGAUCUACGAGCCUUCCUCAUGAGAAGGAAGUGUGGCGCCGUGAGGGGCACCAGCACCACAAGCCAUUUAGUCAGCCUGGUAUGCACCCACUGGCAUGAGAACACAGGCACAGCUGACUUCAAAAGACUCAUUACGGGUGUGGCUGGCUACUCGAUCAGCCACCACUUAUCAGCUGCUGGUUUAGCACGAGAGCGAGGCCUGAGCGAGCAGGUAGCUCUGUUUCCAAGUUAUUUGCUGAACAUUUUAAUUUAAUUUAGGUUGUAACCUUUUUAUAGGGUAAAUUCAAAAGAGCUUUUAUUGCCUAUCAUGAGCCGCCUAUCAGAAACCUUGCUCUGAGUCCAAUCCCACAAACCAGGUUUGAGAAGUUAGCGAGGUGACUUUGGUCAACUGAGUUCACGGUACCACGAAAGUGGCUCACCUUUUAGCCAGGCACAUUUUAUAUGGCAAUGAAUCCUUCAGAACUAACCUGCUCUGGGCUAGGUUAAUACAUUUAUCCUGAAUGAAGUUUCUAGACCAUGAGUUGGGGACCAAUGUAAUCAGAUACCCUCCCUCACGCAAAGAAUGUCAACAUCUCCUUCAUUUGAGCAAGAUGAUUUAUUAAAUAAUUAAUUAAGAGUAUGACUUGGGUGGCUGGAGUCUUUGACCAUUUUUAGAACCUUCCUGACACCGCCUGGUAUAGAGGUCCUGGAUGGCAGGGAGCUCAGCCCCAGUGACGUAGUGGGCCAUACACACUACCUACUGUAGCGUCAAGCAACCAACCAUAGUAGAAACAUAAUCCUUAGAUGGCAGUUCCCAUUCAAAUCAAGACUGGCAGCCAUUGUUAGUA